rnacentral:rRNA from 1 species
UUGGUUAUCGCUUACAGAUGGGCCUGCGGCUCAUUAGCUAGUUGGUAGGGUAACGGCUUACCAAGGCAACGAUGGGUAGCCGGCCUGAGAGGGUGGUCGGCCACACUGGGACUGAGAUACGGCCCAGACUCCUACGGGAGGCAGCAGUAAGGAAUAUUGCGCAAUGGUCGCAAGACUGACGCAGCAACGCCGCGUGGAUGAUGAAGCUCUAUGGAGUGUAAAGUCCUGUUAGAAGGGAAGAACAGUACGGAGUCAAAGCUUCGUGCAUGACGGUACCUUCAGAGAAAGCCCCGGCUAACUCCGUGCCAGCAGCCGCGGUAAUACGGGGGGGGCAAGCGUUGUCCGGAAUUACUGGGCGUAAAGGGCGCGUAGGUGGAAUUGUAAGUUAGAGGUGAAAGCCAGCAGCUUAACUGCUGGUCUGCCUUUAAUACUGCAGUUCUUGAGUGCGAAAGAGGGAAGCGGAAUUCUUGGUGUAGCGGUGAAAUGCGUAGAUAUCAAGAAGAACACCGGUAGCGUAGGCGGCUUCCUGGUUCGUAACUGACACUGAGGCGCGAAAGUGUGGGGAGCAAACAGGAUUAGAUACCCUGGUAGUCCACACCGUAAACGAUGGAUACUAGGUGUUGGGUUUCACGACUCAGUGCCGAAGUUAACGCAUUAAGUAUCCCGCCUGGGGAGUACGAUCGCAAGGUUGAAACUCAAAGGAAUUGACGGGGGCCCGCACAAGCGGUGGAGCACGUGGUUUAAUUCGAUGCAACGCGAAGAACCUUACCGGGGUUUGAAAUGCAGUUGCUCUCCGUUGAAAGACGGAUUUCCUUCGGGACAACUGUACAGGUGCUGCAUGGCUGUCGUCAGCUCGUGCCGUGAGGUGUUGGGUUAAGUCCCGCAACGAGCGCAACCCUUGUCCUUAGUUGCUAUCAGGUCAAGCUGAGAACUCUAAGGAGACUGCCUCGGAUAACGAGGAGGAAGGUGGGGAUGACGUCAAGUCCUCAUGGCCCUUACAUCCCGGGCUACACACGUGCUACAAUGGCCAGUACAACGGGAAGCGAUACCGUGAGGUGGAGCAAAUCCCUUAAAACUGGUCUCAGUUCGGAUUGUAGUCUGCAACUCGACUACAUGAGGUUGGAAUCGCUAGUAAUCGCGGAUCAGCAUGCCGCGCCUGAAUACGUUCCCGGGCCUUGUA